AAAGUCCGGGCUCCUUCGGAAAAAAUGCCGGAUAAUAACCGGGCAUUAAAAGAAAACUGCAUAAGUUUUGUAUUUCUAACGCAAGUUAAAGGGUAUAAUAAGCUUGUAAAGUUCUUUUAAUGACAGAUAGUGCAACAGAAAUUGUACCGCCUGAAGGUUUCAGGUAAGGGUGAAAAGGUGGUGUAAGAGACCACCGCAUAAUUGGUAACAAUUAUGGCUUGUAAACCUCAUUUGGAGCAAGAUUAAGCAGCAGUAAUUUGUAUCCGAGCAAUACUGCGGGUAGAUCGCUAAAGUUUUCUGGUAACAGAAAUCUUGGAUAGAUGGUUAAUUUUAUUUAGGUUUUCUUAAAUAAAAGACAGAACCCGGCUUAUUGUCCCAUCU
rnacentral:RNase_P_RNA from 1 species